GGAGGAUGCCAUCCAGCUUACCUGGACUGGUUCGAGCGCCAUUCGCACCCCCGUAUCCUUCCUAGCAGAGAUGUUCCACGACGACAUCCUCCCCGCAGCAACAACGAUUAUUGGAUGACACUGGUGACCACCUCGUACGAGCAUUUCAUCCAAAAAGUCAGCACGAUUACCGCCCAACAUAGACAGCACUGCGAAUUUGACGGCAUUCCGGAGUUGGAGACUGAGACGGAGGAGGCCAGCACGGAGUUGGAGAGAGUCAUUGCCGCUUGGCGCAGUGCUGACUGAGUGCUGUUAGUAUAUGUUGUAUGUUUAUAUUAUUAGUACUUUUUUCUGAUUAUGGACUUGUUUUCUUUAGAUGUUAGUUUCUAGAGAAUUUUUUUAUAUUAUGUACGUGUUUGUUUUUAUGCAAUUUCAUGAACAUUUUUAAAUAUUA